AGGGAGCCUGAGAAAUGGCUACCACAUCCAAAGAAG
rnacentral:rRNA from 1 species